GACAGUACUUAAGAUGAUCUUAAAUAUAAGAUCCGACUAUGAAUACCGGCCAAUGACCUAGUCACAGUUUAGCUAUAACCAGUUACGACAGUCAGCGAAAUUCUUCGUAUAAUAUUUUACGACGCAUGCGUCAACUGUACUAUCUAAAAUAUGGCGGACAUGGCGAGCCACGCGGUACGAAGCUAUGAGCUAGACAUGUGAUAAUUGCAUGUUAGAGGUUAUAUUGUGUGAAUAAUUUUUCAAUGAUAUUAAGCGAUAUUAAUUAGGUAACAUAAACAUCAAAGGUUCCGACUGUACUGUCGUAACUGGUUAUAGCUAAACUGUGACCUAGUUUACACCGAGCAUUUGGUACGCGUAUCAAAUAGUAAAUAACUAGUGAAUGUAUUUAAUCAUUGGCUGAUCAGUUUAAAUUUACUACUUGAUACACGUACCAAGUGCUCGGUGUAAACUAGAGCAAUCUUUAAAUAAGAUUCGACUAUGAAUACCGGCCUAAGAGCCGAACAUAGAGCUUGUAUGGCCCGUAUUCAUAGUCGAGACUUAUUUCCAAGACCGUCUUAAGUUUGGUCUUAAGAUGCCCUCUAGUUUCAUAGUCGACGAAUAAGCAAAGACUUGAGCAAAAUCUCAAGUCGUGACUUGACCAAGACGAUCUUAUUUCAGAACGCCUAAAUAUGUUUCAUAAACUUUUCUUAUUCAAUAUAAGCAUAGGCUUAAGAUGAUACGUAUUCAUAGUCAUUUAAGAUCGUCUUAUUUGAUAUAUAUAUCGGCAAAUAAAACGAUCUUCGCCAAGUCGUGUCUGUAGUGAACUUAAGAAGUGAACGCUAACCUAAUUUAUAUAAGUUGCGACAGUAUUACAUUUAUAAUGAAUUUUGAAAAACCAAGAAAUAUUGAAAUCCCAGAUAUUAACUUAUCUAAU